rnacentral:lncRNA from 1 species
CAACUUCCACAUGCUGCUCUUACAGACCGAGACUCGGAUUGCAGACUGGCGGGAAGGGGCUCUCAAUGGAAAUUAUCUAAAACGAAAACUUCAGGAUGCUGCAGAACAGCUAAAACAGUAUGAAAUAAACGCCACUCCUAAAGGCUGGUCCUGCCACUGGGACAGGUACGCACUCUUCUCCCCUUUUCACCUUUCACCUUUGACAUCUCAGACAUGAUUUGUGCUCACCGCCACCUGACGCCAUUGACAGCCUGUCUGGAGACUGAGAGCAGCUGCAGUUAGUGGUGCUGGGCAGGCAGAGCACCUGCAAGCAGGUUUUGGCCAGCCACACAUU